rnacentral:lncRNA from 1 species
CCCCCCUCCCUUGUCUAUUCAUCUCCUUCAAACUUGAGUUUCAGACACAUGCACGAUUCACUGCUCUUUAUCUUUUUCCCCAUUCCUUUACCAUUCCUCAAAGGUCUAAGUUCAUCCAUUUUCCCCAGUCAGGUCUCAACAUGUAUACCUAUCUCCCUCUCUCAGUCACUGUGGCUAACUAUUUCUCUUUGCAUGUGUCUCCUCACUUUGCUUCUCUUCCCUGUGCUCCUCAGUUCGGCCAUCUCACACUGGAUAUCCAUGUCAUUUCAUUGCAUUCUUUCUC